GGGCUCGUUUUGGUUUCGACAGAAAUAUGGAGAUUUAAACUGCAAGUCGGAGGGACACGUUAAGUCCAAACUUAAAAAUAACUGGAAACAGAAAUAAUUUAGUACCUUCAUUUGCCUAAGUUGGCUUGGUACACUUCUUUAAUCUUUUAGCUCACGAGAGAUUUUAGAGGUUCGCUUUAGUGAGAUAUAUCAUUAUUUUGCCUAGGGAUAAUGAUGAAUUUUAUAGGCUUACUAAUAAAGUAGUUGUUAGUUACUAAUCUUUAUUAGAAAAUCUUAUAACUAACUAAACUUGUAGAUGUUUUCUUUGAAGUAUUUUUGGACAGGAGUUCAAUUCUCCUCGGGUCCACCA
rnacentral:tmRNA from 1 species